GUGUCAGCAGCCGCGGUAAAACCAGCACCUCAAGUGGUCAGGAGGAUUAUUGGGCCUAAAGCAUCCGUAGCCUGUUCUAUAAGUUUCCGGUUAAAUCCAUUAGCUCAACUAAUGGGCCGCCGAAAAUACUGUGGAACUAGGGAGUGGGAGAGGUAGACGGUACUCGGUAGGAAGGGGUAAAAUCCUUUGAUCUAUUGAUGACCACCUGUGGCGAAGGCGGUCUACCAGAACACGUUCGACGGUGAGGGAUGAAAGCUGGGGGAGCAAACCGGAUUAGAUACCCGGGUAGUCCCAGCUGUAAACGAUGCAGACUCGGUGAUGCGCUGGCUUGUGGCCAGUGCAGUGCCGCAGGGAAGCCGUUAAGUUUGCCGCCUGGGAAGUACGUACGCAAGUAUGAAACUUAAAGGAAUUGGCGGGGGAGCACCACAAGGGGUGAAGCCUGCGGUUCAAUUGGAGUCAACGCCAGAAAUCUUACCCGAAGAGACAGCAGAAUGAAGGUCAAGCUGGAGACUUUACCAGACAAGCUGAGAAGUGGUGCAUGGCCGUCGCCAGCUCGUGCCGUGAGAUGUCCUGUUAAGUCAGGUAACGAGCGAGAUCCCUGCCUCUAGUUGCCACCAUUACUCUCAGGAGUAGUGGGGCGAAUUAGCGGGACCGCCGCAGUUAAUGCGGAGGAAGGAAGGGGCCACGGCAGGUCAGUAUGCCCUGAAACUUUGGGGCUACACGCGGGCUGCAAUGGUAGCGACAAUGGGUUCCGAACCCGAAAGGUGGAGGUAAUCCUCAAACGCUACCACAGUUAUGAUUGAGGGCUGCAACUCGUCCUCAUGAAUAUGGAAUCCCUAGUAACUGCGUGUCAUUAUCGCGCAGUGAAUACGUCCCUGCUCCUUGCACACACUGCCCGUC
rnacentral:rRNA from 1 species